rnacentral:misc_RNA from 1 species
UGGGUAUUGUUUCUGACCAGUGGCU